GAUGAACGCUGGCGGCGUGCCUAAUACAUGCAAGUCGAGCGAACGGACGAGAAGCUUGCUCCUCUGACGUUAGCGGCGGACGGGUGAGUAACACGUGGAUAACCUACCUAUAAGACUGGGAUAACUUCGGGAAACCGGAGCUAAUACCGGAUAAUAUUUUGAACCGCAUGGUUCAAUAGUGAAAGACGGUCUUGCUGUCACUUAUAGAUGGAUCCGCGCUGCAUUAGCUAGUUGGUAAGGUAACGGCUUACCAAGGCAACGAUGCAUAGCCGACCUGAGAGGGUGAUCGGCCACACUGGAACUGAGACACGGUCCAGACUCCUACGGGAGGCAGCAGUAGGGAAUCUUCCGCAAUGGGCGAAAGCCUGACGGAGCAACGCCGCGUGAGUGAUGAAGGUCUUCGGAUCGUAAAACUCUGUUAUUAGGGAAGAACAUAUGUGUAAGUAACUGUGCACGUCUUGACGGUACCUAAUCAGAAAGCCACGGCUAACUACGUG
rnacentral:rRNA from 1 species